GCGGACGUGGCUCAGUGGUAGAGCACCACCUUGCCAAGGUGGGGGUCGCGGGUUCGAAUCCCGUCGUCCGCU
rnacentral:tRNA from 1 species